AGAGUUUGAUCAUGGCUCAGAACGUACGCUGGCGGCACGCUUAACACAUGCAAGUCGAACGAAGUAGCAAUACUUAGUGGCAGACGGGUGAGUAACAUGUGGGUAUCUGCCCUUUGGCCUGGAAUAACACGAGGAAACUUGUGCUAAUACCGGAUAAGUCUUUACGGAGAAAGCUUUAUGCACCAUUGGAUGAGCCCGCACUUGAUUAGUUUGUUGGUGGGGUAAUGGCCUACCAAGACUGUGAUCAAUAGCUGAUUUGAGAGGAUGAUCAGCCACAUUGGGACUGAGACACGGCCCAAACUCCUACGGGAGGCAGCAGUGGGGAAUCUUGCACAAUGGAGGAAACUCUGAUGCAGCGAUGCCGCGUGAGUGAAGAAGGCCCUUGGGUUGUAAAGCUCUUUCGUCGGGGAAGAAAAUGACUGUACCCGAAUAAGAAGGUCCGGCUAACUUCGUGCCAGCAGCCGCGGUAAU
rnacentral:rRNA from 1 species